rnacentral:piRNA from 1 species
GUGGGAAGAAUUAACAAGGAGUAAAGAACGC